CGUGGUUACCUUGCCCCUUAAAGGGCCAACCUCGACACAUGGUCUCUCUUUUACACACUCUUUCUCUCUCUCUCUCUCUCUCUCUCUCUCUCUCUCUCUCUCGGCACCCCUUCCCUUUUCUCUCUCUCCCCAUGUCCUGCUCCCCCCUCCCUCCUAAUAAACUUCUUGCAGAGAAUAUUGCUUGUCACCAGUCUCAAGCUUUUUAAUAACAUUACAUUGGUGCCGAAACCCGGGAAGGGCUCGCCUAGCUUUGUUAGGGUCCCUUUCGGACUCCUGUAAUCUAACAGGACCUUGGCAGGGGCUCUCUGAGAGGCGCAGCCGUGCAGGUCCGGUUCUGGUCAGUGACUGGAGAUGCCCAGUGCAGCCCCGGAGGGAUGUGAUGAGGCUACAGGGGCGUGCGCCGGGGGUGCAUGGCGCUGGACGCUCAGCAGCUGCCUGCUCCCGCUGCGGCUGCGCCCCCUGCCUGUGCCGUGACCGCCAGCGAGGCCCCCACCCGGACCAGCGCUCCCGAGUGGUGGAGACUCACACAACCACAAAAAUCAACUUUGGAAAACUUGGUAAGAAAUUUUUAAAAAACCAGCACAGUUGGGAAACUUUUAAAUUUCCCGCAGGAUACCCGGCUGGUGCCAUGUUGGUCCUGGGAGGAAGUGGGUGUAAGAAUAGCUUAACCAUUCACUUAACAAUGCAGCGCAGCGCCAUCUUAGGUUCGGGCAGAGAGGCCCCGCCCCCCGCGCGCCCUGCCGCAGUCUCUCCAGUGCUCUGGCUCGCCCCUGGCCCCUCCCCCACCAAGCUGCCGUGCCUGCGCUGCCUGCUCCCUCUUGCUAUGCUCUUCCCCUGCACCCACCAAGCUGCUUUCCUUUCGCUUCUAGCCCCAUUUCGCUUCUAGCCCCGUGCUUUCUUCUAAGAGGCUUUUCCCAAGCUUUAAGAAAAAAAUAAAAUAAAAACUUUUCUCCCUGAUUUCUGUACUCUUUACUCUUUACUCUUAUGCUUUAAAUUAAAUUAAAUUAGAUAAAUGCUUAUCUAAUGCCUUAUAUAAUUUAUAUAAUUUUCUCAUUGGGUUUGCAUUUAUAAGUCUUAAUCAUAAUUAACUGUUUAUCUUAUCUUUUAGACCAGGCCACAACAAUGAACCACGUUUCAAGUUGGUAUGGAUUUUUAUAAAAAUUCAAAGUUACAUUUUACUGUCUUAUGAUUCAACCCUGCUUCAAAAUAAAUUUUAUAUAAUAAUAAAAUUUAGAAGUUAUAAAUAUCUAUUCAAAUUAAGUUGGUUUAUGUGUUGCUCAAAUAUAAUUUUAAGAUUGCUUUAUACUGUUCUGCUAAGGGGUUCAUUAUUACAUACAAAUUGUUUACCUAUAUUCUAAAUUAAGAUCUAUUAAUUUUAGAUGUAUUUAUUUAUGUUAAAACUGGGUCAAUUUAAUACAUCUCUACUAUCAAAGAGUUAAAAUAUGCUUGGUUAAUUUUAAAUUUGGUUUACACUGUUCUGCUAAAUUGUUGGUUUUAAACUUAUAGCCCAAGGGUUUGUUAUUAUGUACAAGUUGUUUACCAAUAUUCUAAAUUAAGAUCUAUUAAUUUUAGAGGUAUUUAUUUAUGUUAAAACUGGAUCAAUUUACAGUAUCUCUGCUAUCAAAAGGUUAAUAUAAGCUUGGUCUUGUUCUCUUAAAAUGAUGUUAUUAAUCUGUAGUAUAGCCUUAGACUAUUAUAAGCUAUAAACUUUUAUAUAUUAAAUCAUACAAAAACUCUUGUGCUCUCACUUUAAUAAGUUAUAUUCAUGACUUUUAAGGUUCUAACUUAGCAAGGACAAAACCUAAAGUUCUGGUUGAUAUUUACUGGUUAACAAAUGCAGGUUAAUAGUCAUUUCAUAAGAUACAUAUUUAUAGUCCUGCAGACAAAUACCAGAUGCAAACAUGGUCUCAUUGCAAUUUUUAAUAAACAGCUGAGGAUGGUACUUGAGUCACAAUAUAGGAGUUGGUAAAAAUAGUAAGCCAUCCCAAAGGGCUCUAGACCUAGCUGCAUUCGGAAGCUGCUGGCGUUCCUGCAAAAACGCAAGAAGUUUGCUUAGCCAAAAGUCUGUUCUGCCAGGUGACAUUUUGAAAUGCAGCCAAAGUGGAUGCUGGUCCUGCUGCUGCAACAUGCCAAAGCUGACUGCUGGCAAACUGGCCUCUGGAAGUCAAAAUGCUCCCAAGCAGGCUUGUCCUCUGUGCCCAGCCAUGGAGGUUCAACCAGCACAAGAGCACAGUCACUUCCAGCCUUCUAGCUCGUUGGCCUGGCAGAGGACAGGUGGCUCCUCGACUUAGCAACCUCCACAGUUCUCGCACAGGUCUGUUUUUUACCUCAGAAUGAGGACCCAUGGACAUAUUGCCAACUUCUGUGUUGGGAGACUUCAGGUGCCUUCCCAGCUCUCUUCAUAUGCAGGAGACCAGGCCUUAAGUUUAAGUCCUAGAGCUGCUAUUUUCAGGCCUAGACACAGUCCAGACUCAAGAAACAGGCCUAAAUGAAACCUUUUUACCAUCCCUUUAGCUAAAGGACAAUAAAUGUUCAUAGCAGUUUCAACUAUGUCUCAUGGUAAAUAACUAAAUACAAAGGUUCCUCUCAAAAAACAUAUUUGAGAGAUGUCUUAAGGUUAAUAAAUACAAGUUAUACAUGUUUGAGAGUCUAAAAAUGUGUCUUAAGGUUGGUAAUGCAAUUUAUAAAUGUUUGAGGGUCUGAAAAAUGUUUUAAGGUUGGUAAAUGCAAGUUAUAAAGGUUACAAGGUCUAAAGUGAUUUAAGGUAUCUUAAAUAGGUAAAAAGGCUUAAUAUUUCCUCCUGUUGUUGUGCUACUGUUGUAUUGACUGUCCAGAGCCAAUAGGGCUCUAAUUUAUUAAUCUGACUCUGAUACAAAAACAUUCCACUAUACCAUGUACUAUUAUGGUUCUAAGAUCAAGAUUGUAAGUCUCCAUAAUAUGUAUACUUAUAGUAAAAGUUAAGAUCAAGUGAGUUUCCCUUUUACUUCAUAAAAGGCGCCUUUUCAGAGCUCACCUUAAAAAUACUUAUGCUAUUAACACAAAUAUGUAUGUCUACUGCCUUUUUCUAUAAUGUACAGUACAAUUGUGAUACUAACAUGUCUAAAGUUUUAUCUCCUUAAAACAUAAAAGUAAUUCUUGUAAGCUGCAGAAAUUCCACCUAAAUCCACCUCUCAGGUCAACUGGACUCCAGAUAAGUACUGCACUUAUUGCCUAUCUCAAAAGGUGGAACUCCUCCCCUUUGCCCAGUUUUGGGACUUCCUUUCCUGGCUACCAGACUGCUAUUUACUGCAUGCAACCACUGGCUGGAUUGGUGAAUUCUCCUUAUUGACCAGCCACUAGAUCAGUGAGUUCACUCCAUUUUCUCAGCAUAAACACCUGUCUUGGUAGGGGAAGCUUGACCACAUAGCUUCAGCAACGUCAUACUAUCUUUUAAGAUGGAGGGACCCCCCCCCAGCCAUAGCCUUAACUGUCUAGGUUUGACCCUCUGUGCUGACCUCCAUUUUAGGGCCUCAUUCUCCCUUGGGCUGUAUGUCUCCUCUCACACACAGUUCCUUCUUCCCCUCCCUUGCUCGCUCGCUUGCUCAUGGGAAGGCCCACACUUGCACAUGGUUCCUUCUCCCCCUCUCUCGCUCGCUCGUGGGAAGGCCUAGCGCUAGGCGAACCGUCGUUCCCCGGCUGUGCCCCACUGGGCAGAGCGCCCCGUCUCUGGCCAAAAGCUGAUGAGCUAUUGGACCAGUGGCCUGCCAGACACAGAUGUUUCCUAUAGCCACAACAGCGCCAAAGCAGCUACAGGUGUUCAACUCUGACCUCACAGACUUCCAACAAGCUGGACCUGCACCUUCCCUCCCAGCCAUGGAUGUUCUUACAGACCCUGGAAAGUGUCAAAACAGCCUAUUCUUCCUGGACUUGGCCAACAUUUCAGCCUUUUGACCUCCCUACAGCGCCCCCAGUGUCAGCAGGAAGUAGCCAGAAGAGAAUCUACGCCCUUUAUUCACUUGUUGUUAACAAAAGGCUGAAAUGGUGUGCUUCAGGACCAGGACAAGCAACUCCAGGUUCUCCCAGCGUUCUCCAGCCCCUACCUGCUGUCUUGUAUGGCUGGCAACUCUCUCUAUUGACAACCCUCUACCCUAAAUUUUCCAGGGCAGAGGCUUCCCUUACUCUUGACCUUGCAAUCUGGCCAUUUUGUUGCUAUAAUUCUUUCUCUCAAACCCUUGCAUGACAACCAAGAGCUGCUUCCAAUGAGCUGAAAUUUAUAUACUUUAACUUACCUUAUAAAAAGCAGCCCAAGCUCCCCAUUUUUAAUUAUAGAAAAAGGGAGGAAUGUUAGUAUUUUGGAACACAACCUGCUCCUGUGUUACCCAGCAACCUAUGAUGUCAUCAUGUGUCGACAGCCAGGUGGCCACACCUGGAAAGUGUGGUUACCUUGCCCCUUAAAGGGCCAACCCCGACACAUGGUCUGUCUCUUACACUCUUACUCCCUCUUCUCUUCUCUUACUCUCCUCUCUUUCUCUCUCUCUCUCUCUCUCUCUCUCUCUCAGGGUGCCCCUUCCCUUUUCUCUCUCUCUCUCCAUGUCCUGCUCCCCCCUCCCUCCUAAUAAACUUCUUGCAGAGAAUA